GACGAACGCUGGCGGCGUGCUUAACACAUGCAAGUCGAGCGGAAAGGCCACUUCGGUGGUACUCGAGCGGCGAACGGGUGAGUAACACGUGAGUAAUCUGCCCUUGGCUUUGGGAUAGCCACCGGAAACGGUGAUUAAUACCGGAUAUGACCACUCUAGGCAUCUAGUGGUGGUGGAAAGUUUUUCGGCCAGGGAUGUGCUCGCGGCCUAUCAGCUUGAUGGUGAGGUAAUGGCUCACCAUGGCUUGGACUGGUAGCCGGCCUGAGAGGGUGACCGGUCACACUGGGACUGAGACACGGCCCAGACUCCUACGGGAGGCAGCAGUGGGGAAUAUUGGACAAUGGGCGGAAGCCUGAUCCAGCAACGCCGCGUGAGGGAUGACGGCCUUCGGGUUGUAAACCUCUUUCAGCAGGGACGAAGCGCGAGUGACGGUACCUGCAGAAGAAGCACCGGCCAACUACGUGCCAGCCGCCGCGGUAA
rnacentral:rRNA from 1 species